GUGGGGAAUAUUGCACAAUGGGGGAAACCCUGAUGCAGCCAUGCCGCGUGUGUGAAGAAGGCCUUCGGGUUGUAAAGCACUUUCAGCGAGGAGGAAAGGUUGGUAGCUAAUAACUGCCAGCUGUGACGUUACUCGCAGAAGAAGCACCGGCUAACUCCGUGCCAGCAGCCGCGGUAAUACGGAGGGUGCAAGCGUUAAUCGGAAUUACUGGACGUAAAGCGCACGCAGGCGGUUGGAUAAGUUAGAUGUGAAAGCCCCGGGCUCAACCUGGGAAUUGCAUUUAAAACUGUCCAGCUAGAGUCUUGUAGAGGGGGGUAGAAUUCCAGGUGUAGCGGUGAAAUGCGUAGAGAUCUGGAGGAAUACCGGUGGCGAAGGCGGCCCCCUGGACAAAGACUGACGCUCAGGUGCGAAAGCGUGGGGAGCAAACAGGAUUAGAAACCCCAGUAGUCC
rnacentral:rRNA from 1 species